UCUACGCUUGACCAACAUCUCUCGUCUACGUCCCCAGUUUUUAAUUAAUUUGAAGCAUUUAAUCGAGCUGACAACAGCUAAAUAAUAGUCAAUUAGCUGCAUAAAGUCCUUACGAGUAUAUUGAGAUAAUAAUUUUCAUAAAUUGGACGAGGCUGAAAUUGAUCAUAAAUAUUCAUGUCGGGGUCCAGGACAUCAAAGUUUAAUGACGCAGCAACGGCUCCAACAAAAAAAACAUGGCCGCUGGUGGCGCUGGAAUGUUGGGAUUUUGUUAGAAAAAAAUGGCGUAGCAAGUGUUUAUUUAAAUUAAUUAGUGAGUUUGUGUUUAAUAAGGUAGUGAGUUCAGUGAAUUAGUGAUUCAGUGAGGCAGUGAAUUUAUUCAUCUAUCAUUGUACUGAAGUUAGCCGACGUCUAAUAAU